rnacentral:snRNA from 1 species
UUGCUCACUUAGGCAGCACAUAUAGGAAAUGUGGGAUGACACAGAGAAGGCUAGCAUGGCCCCUGCCUGAAGAUGCGACACAAAAUCAUAAAACUUUCUGUCUUUUU